AUUAAUAGAAAAUCCACUUCCCCAGUAGAGAAGAUUGAUUAAUUUUUUGACUUUUCAAAGGAUGUACGACGUGAUAGACGCGAUCCGUUUCGUCACAGAAAAACAGAGUAGCCUCGCUGCGAUUGGCUCUUUUUGGUAGGUAUUGAAAUAGGUGCUAUUUUUUUUUUUUUUUUUUAAUAAUCUCAUGGUUCAUAUCAUUUGAUUUUGAAUUUGUCAGUAUUUUUGAAAAGAUCUAAAAUUCAGAUAUUUUUCAACUUAAAUUUUCAACAACGACGAUUCAAAUUUAAUUAAUUGAAAAAAUAAAUGGUGCUACAACGUAUUUUUUUUUAGUAAAAAAUGAGAAAAAAAUGAAAAAUUGAUUAGCUGAGUGUGUUUUAGUGCUUGAUGCCCUUGACUAGCAGAGAAAAAUCUGGCCAAUGGCCAUCCAGUGUUAUGCUUUAUCAAUUUUCACUAUUUCUACAUUAUGAUGUGAUGGAGUUUCAAUUUUCUAUAUUUUCAGCAAUUUUUAAUUCGGAUUCUUGAUAAUUAAUGAAUCUGUUUCAAGCAAUUGGUUGCUAUUAUUAUAACCUGUGUAGUGUGUACUUUAUGGGAUGUUAUUUCUCAUUCAUUGUUGGUGAUGAUUGUGAUGAAUAUUGAAUAAUAAUAAUACUGUUGAUUUCGAUCAUAGACAAUUUUUACUUUUUGAGUGCUUUGCUUUUCAAUUUGAAUAAAUUGAAAAAAAACUGAUACCUGUGUAUAUUGUACUGUACAAGUGUACAUAAAUAAUACAGUUGAUUGAUAGCAGACUGAUUCUCAUAUUUUUAAAUUUUCAACAAUUGUGUACUCAAUGGGAUGUAAUUUGUGUUUUAUUGUGCCGUGAUAAACUGCUUCUUGAGUGACUUUCCUUUUUGAAUUUAUUUUCAAAAGAAAAAAAAAGUGAUACUUGAACUUUUAAGCACUUAUUUACACUUCCUAAUGUGAAUAUUAAAUAAAGUUGGUUGGUUCCAGUUGUUCAUUUCAUUUACCUGUAACCUGUGUAUAUUGUACUGCUGUGCAUAAUAAAUAAUACAGCAGUUGAUUGAUAGCAGACUGAUUAUCAUUUUGAACUUUUUCAACAAUCUUUGAAUUUCUUAGAUUCAAGCACUCAGCACUGAUUAUUAUCAACAGCAGGCUACAGAUUUUGUAUUGAUCUGUCAGGUCUAUUCUACAGAAGGUCGUGUGGGUCGUGUGAAUACAUAAUAUUUGCACGUAAAAAUUUUUUCGAGUGGCCGUGUUUUUAAACACGUAAAUUAUUUUCUUGAAUAAAUGGUCGUGUAGAUUUUUUUGCACGUAAAACUCUACUGGUCGUGCAUUGCACGUUAAAACAUUUUUCAUAUCUUUUGAAUUAAAUUCAGCGUACAUUGGUCGUGUAUUAUCAUACACGUAAAAUAGAAUUUGAUUUAUUUAUUACAGUUUUGGUAAUACGUUUAGUCAUUUGAAUAAAUAAAUUUGAAGUGAA